CCUACGGGAGGCAGCAGUGGGGAAUAUUGCACAAUGGGCGCAAGCCUGAUGCAGCGACGCCGCGUGAGGGAUGACGGCCUUCGGGUUGUAAACCUCUUUCAGUAGGGAAGAAGCGUAAGUGACGGUACCUGCAGAAGAAGCGCCGGCUAACUACGUGCCAGCAGCCGCGGUAAUACGUAGGGCGCAAGCGUUAUCCGGAAUUAUUGGGCGUAAAGAGCUCGUAGGCGGUUUGUCGCGUCUGCCGUGAAAGUCCGGGGCUCAACUCCGGAUCUGCGGUGGGUACGGGCAGACUAGAGUGAUGUAGGGGAGACUGGAAUUCCUGGUGUAGCGGUGAAAUGCGCAGAUAUCAGGAGGAACACCGAUGGCGAAGGCAGGUCUCUGGGCAUUAACUGACGCUGAGGAGCGAAAGCAUGGGGAGCGAACAGGAUUAGAUACCCAGGUAGUCCAUGCCGUAAACGUUGGGCACUAGGUGUGGGGGACAUUCCACGUUUUCCGCGCCGUAGCUAACGCAUAAGUGCCCGCCUGGGGAGUACGGCCGCAAGGCUAAACGUCAAAGGAAUUGACGG
rnacentral:rRNA from 1 species